rnacentral:rRNA from 1 species
AGAGUUUGAUCCUGGCUCAGGAUGAACGCUGGCGGCGUGCCUAACACAUGCAAGUCGAGCGGGAAAUCCGUGACGGAUCCUUCGGGUGACGGAUCGGAUGGAGAGCGGCGGACGGGUGAGUAACGCGUAGGUAACCUGCCCUGUACAGAGGGAUAGCCACUGGAAACGGUGAUUAAUACCUCAUAAUGCCGGAUCUGCACAUGCAGGACCGGUCAAGUUUUUCGGACAGGAUGGACCUGCGUCUGAUUAGCUUGUUGGUGGGGUAACGGCUCACCAAGGCGACGAUCAGUAGCCGACCUGAGAGGGUNAUCGGCCACAUUGGAACUGAGACACGGUCCAAACUCAUACGGGAGCA